rnacentral:lncRNA from 10 species
ACAGGUACGUGGGCGGGCGGAUCGUGGUGGCUGCGCUUGCGAGGACCCUGAGGUAGAUUGGGUGGUUUCAACAGGAACGCAUCCACUGUCUGAGAGUUUAAACUUGAUUUUGUGAGGGGACGAACAGCGUGACAAUUAAAAGAAGAUCUGGGAAUCGAAUACCCAUCUCGAGUUCUGGAUAUGUGCUCUGAGAAGGUGCCCAUGUCACCGACCACACUGGAGGCCAAUGCAGAUACUGGGGGAAGGUUCCAUGGUAGCUAAGUGUGGACAAGCUAAUCACUGAAGUUCCCUGAUGCAGAGUUGAUAAUCUCUCUAGAGUUGGAUGAAAGACUGUGCUGCCUUGAAGCUCUGAGAGAUGCCAUGCCAAUUCAAGGCAGGGUCUUUAUUGUUGAAACUCUUGCGUAAUGACAUCUUUAUUCAGGUGAAAAUACAGGAUGAAUUUCAACUAUAUGAUAUUGUUUAUGUUCCUCAGACAUGUUAUUUGUCUUUACAAAGAUUGGUUUCAAUAAACUGUGUGACUGAUAUUAAAUAAACAUGGAAUUUUACACAUUCAUAAUA